rnacentral:rRNA from 1 species
UGGGGAAUUUUCCGCAAUGGGCGAAAGCCUGACGGAGCGACGCCGCGUGGAGGAAGAAGUAUUUCGGUAUGUAAACUCCUUUUGUCAGGGACGAAACAAAUGACGGUACCUGAAGAAUAAGCAUCGGCUAACUACGUGCCAGCAGCCGCGGUAAUACGUAGGAUGCAAGCGUUGUUCGGAAUUACUGGGCGUAAAGAGUACGUAGGCGGUAAUAUAAGUUUAAUAUUAAAGACCGAAGCUUAACUUCGGGAAUGUAUUGAAAACUGUAUUGCUAGAGGUUAAUAGAGGAAGUCGGAAUUCUCAGUGUAGCGGUGAAAUGCGUAGAUAUUGGGAAGAACACCAGUGGCGAAAGCGGACUUCUGGGUUAAUACUGACGCUGAGGUACGAAAGUGUGGGGAGC